UUUCCUACGGGGGGCAGCAGUGGGGGAUAUUGGACAAUGGGGGGAACCCUGAUCCAGCGACGCCGCGUGAGUGAAGAAGUAUUUCGGAAUGUAAAGCUCUGUCAGCAGGGAAGAAAGAAAUGACGGUACCUGACCAAGAAGCCCCGGCUAACUACGUGCCAGCAGCCGCGGUAAUACGUAGGGGGCAAGCGUUAUCCGGAAUUACUGGGAGUAAAGGGAGCGUAGACGGUUAAGUAAGUCUGGAGUGAAAGGCCGGGGCUCAACCCCGGGACGGCUCUGGCAACUAUUUAACUGGAGUGCAGGAG
rnacentral:rRNA from 1 species